GAUAAGGUGGCCGAGUUAAUAGGCGAAAGACUGUAGAUCUUUUAACGGAUUUAAUUACCCCUUAUUA
rnacentral:tRNA from 1 species